rnacentral:rRNA from 1 species
UGCUUAACACAUGCAAGUCGAACGGCAGCACAGUACGUAGCAAUACGUAUGGGUGGCGAGUGGCGGACGGGUGAGAAACGCGUAGGAAUCUGCCUUAUAGAGGGGGACAACCCGAGGAAACUCGGGCUAAUACCGCAUAAGCUCGAAAGAGGAAAGGGUGCCUUGAAAGAGGUGUCGCUAUAAGAGGAGCCUGCGUCCGAUUAGCUAGUUGGUUAGGUAAAAGCUGACCAAGGCAGUGAUCGGUAGCUGGUCUGAGAGGAUGAUCAGCCACACUGGGACUGAGACACGGCCCAGACUCCUACGGGAGGCAGCAGUGGGGAAUAUUGGACAAUGGGGGCAACCCUGACCCAGCAACGCCGCGUGAGGGAGGAAAUCCUUCGGGAUGUAAACCUC